rnacentral:tRNA from 1 species
GGUGGUAGCCCAGUGGAAGAGCACUUGCUUAGUAUGUGUGAGGCACCAGGUUCAAUUCUUGGCACCG